GAUGAACGCUGGCGGCGUGCCUAAUACAUGCAAGUCGAGCGAAUGGAUUAAGAGCUUGCUCUUAUGAAGUUAGCGGCGGACGGGUGAGUAACACGUGGGUAACCUGCCCAUAAGACUGGGAUAGCUCCGGGAAACCGGGGCUAAUACCGGAUAACAUUUUGAACCGCAUGGUUCGAAAUUGAAAGGCGGCUUCGGCUGUCACUUAUGGAUGGACCCGCGUCGCAUUAGCUAGUUGGUGAGGUAACGGCUCACCAAGGCAACGAUGCGUAGCCGGCCUGGGAGGGUGGUCGGCCACACUGGGACUGAGACACGGCCCAGACUCCUACGGGGGGCAGCAGUAGGGAAUCUUCCGCAAUGGACGAAAGUCUGACGGAGCAACGCCGCGUGAGUGAUGAAGGCUUUCGGGUCGUAAAACUCUGUUGUUAGGGAAGAACAAGUGCUAGUUGAAUAAGCUGGCACCUUGACGGUACCUAACCAGAAAGCCACGGCUAACUACGUGCCAGCCGCCGCGGUAA
rnacentral:rRNA from 1 species